GGAGAGGUGGCCGAGUGGUUGAAGGCGGCGGCCUCGAAAGCCGUUGUACUCCAUUGGGGUACCGCGAGUUCGAAUCUCGCCCUCUCCGCCA
rnacentral:tRNA from 1 species